UAUCAGCGUUUGGAGCUCGAG
rnacentral:miRNA from 1 species